GGCAGUUUGAGACGGACACUGGUCAGUGCUGUGAUUGUCCACCAGGUCUUGCUGGACCUCACUGUGAAGAUUGUGAUCCGUCAGAAGUUGUGUGCUAUAACAAUGGUACCCUGAUAUUACGACUGCAGGAUGGUAACUGUCAAUGUCAGUGUACCCGUGAAUACACUGGAGCCCGUUGUCAACAGACAACUGAAACUGGAAAUUAUACAGAUUUUGAUGCCACGGAAUUCCCAAAAUUGGAACGGUGUGUUACCGACCCUGUUGAUAUCACUUUGAUUGUAGAUGGGAACAUUCUAAAGGACUCAACACCAAACAAGAAUGAAAUUGUGCGCUCAAUAGAGAACCUAUUAUCUUACUUUGGCAAUGACCGAGUUGGGUUUUUAACCUUUCAUACUAACAAGGUUAUACAAAUCAAUAACAAAAUAUACACUACUGACUUAGCGUUCACUCAAUCUUUAUAUAGGGUGAACAUUGAAAGUGGCAAUGUCACCUUAGCAGAUGCUCUAGGUGAAACCCAAACAACACAAAUGACACUGAC